rnacentral:rRNA from 1 species
CCUACGGGUGGCAGCAGUGGGGAAUAUUGGACAAUGGGCGAAAGCCUGAUCCAGCCAUGCCGCGUGUGUGAAGAAGGCCUUCGGGUUGUAAAGCACUUUCAGUGGGGAAGAAAGCCUUGGGGCUAAUACCCUCGAGGAAGGACAUCACCCACAGAAGAAGCACCGGCUAACUCCGUGCCAGCAGCCGCGGUAAUACGGAGGGUGCGAGCGUUAAUCGGAAUUACUGGGCGUAAAGCGCGCGUAGGCGGUCUGAUAAGCCGGUUGUGAAAGCCCCGGGCUCAACCUGGGAACGGCAUCCGGAACUGUCAGGCUAGAGUGCAGGAGAGGAAGGUAGAAUUCCCGGUGUAGCGGUGAAAUGCGUAGAGAUCGGGAGGAAUACCAGUGGCGAAGGCGGUCUUCUGGACUGACACUGACGCUGAGGUGUGAAAGCGUGGGUAGCAAACAGGAUUAGAUACCCGAGUAGUC